AUAGUCAAAAGAGAGGACAAAGAAUGCUUAAUGAUCAGAAUCUGACUAUUCCUAACAUGACCAUGGAUUGGAGAAGAAAAUCAAAAAGGUGGAGAGAAGCAUCUGAGACAUUGAUCAUCAAAGACAAUCAGAUUUUUGACAGCAAUGAUCAAAAUGGAUGUCAACAAACAGU